rnacentral:rRNA from 1 species
UACGUAGGUGGCGAGCGUUAUCCGGAUUUACUGGGUGUAAAGGGCGCGUAGGCGGGGAUGCAAGUCAGAUGUGAAAUCCAUGGGCUCAACCCAUGAACUGCAUUUGAAACUGCAUUUCUUGAGUGCUGGAGAGGUAGACGGAGUUCCUUUUGUAUCGGUGAAAUGCGUAGAUAUAAGGAAGAACACCAGUGGCGAAGGCGGUCUACUGGACAGUAACUGACGCUGAGGCGCGAAAGCGUGGGGAGCAAAC